rnacentral:rRNA from 1 species
UACAGAGGGUGCAAGCGUUAAUCGGAAUUACUGGGCGUAAAGCGUGCGUAGACGGUUACAUAAGUCGGGUGUGAAAGCCCCGGGCUCAACCUGGGAAUUGCAUUCGAGACUGCGUAGCUAGGGUGCGGAAGAGGGAAGCGGAAUUUCCGGUGUAGCGGUGAAAUGCGUAGAUAUCGGAAGGAACACCAGUGGCGAAAGCGGCUUCCUGGUCCAGCACCGACGUUCAGGCACGAAAGCGUGGGGAGCAAACAGGA